rnacentral:rRNA from 1 species
UACAGAGGUCCCAAGCGUUGUUCGGAUUCAUUGGGCGUAAAGCGCGCGCAGGCGGUUCGGUAAGUCAGGUGUGAAAUCCCGGGGCUCAACCUCGGAAGGGCACAUGAUACUGCCAAACUUGAGUACUGGAGAGGAGAGUGGAAUUCCCGGUGUAGAGGUGAAAUUCGUAGAUAUCGGGAGGAACACCAGUGGCGAAGGCGACUCUCUGGACAGAUACUGACGCUGAGGCGCGAAAGCGUGGGAAGCAAACAGG